rnacentral:lncRNA from 1 species
GAAAGGAAAUGGAUAUCGCUGCUGGAGGCAACGACUAAUUUAAGCAGAGUAGGAGAAAAACUCUUUUUUUUUUUCCUUUGUGCCAGUUCCUUUUACACGACUUCAGAACAUUCUAUGACAACCCAGCGUGCAACUUGGCACUGUCAGAAGAGUCCUGGGAAAGAAAGGAAAUGCGUUUUUCAGAACUUUACUAGGGGUAGUUGAUCCAAAUGGCAUUAUUGGAUGUGGUGGUUUCCGGACACCCACCUGUGACACUGCGGUGACCGGUCUCCUGUCUGGCCUGAAGUGGAUCUGGACCCCACACAGUCCCCAUGUACAGCUGAUACCAGGCUGAAGUGGAUCAGGAGGCUGAGGAACUAAGCCAGUGUCAGGUGGUGCACCAGGCUGCCCAAGUAAGAGGCCCUACACAUGCAGGUGGAGGCUUAGAUGAACACAGGAUGAUUAUGGAGCAAUACUUGAAGCCCAAAUGAAGCUCUGAACCCGGAGACUUCUCAAAACCUGUCAUCAAUGCUCUAACUCUUCUGUGGCCACCUCCUUCUACUGGAGUUUAGCCAGGUGGGAAGGUAGGGCACAGUAGAGAUUGGGAGCUUCAUUAAAAAGCUCUUUAUCUCAUGUGCCUCUCAAGUUUAAAACCCUUUAGUGACUCCUUUACCUGCUACAUAAAAUUCAAGUUAUUUAUCUUGGUCUUCCACAGUUUCCAGAGCCAAACAGCACUCAAAUCCUUAAUAAGCAUGUGACCCUGGGAAAGAUCUUUGAUCACUAUGCCUUGUGUUCUCUUCCAGAAAAUGAGAAAACCAAUAUUGGACUGUACUGGACAGGACAUAUGUACUAUAUCAGAUUCUCCCUGGCCACAUGCAUAGAGUCUCUGUCUUUUCCCACCACUUUAAAGACAUUGAUAAAAUGCCAUACCACAGGGCAUGAGAUCUGGCAUCCCAAGUUGCCACCAGCAAACCUAGAAGUGUGGGUUCCAACUCUAUGGGUAUAUCUCAGUCAUUUAGCAUCUGCUCUAUCUUUGAGGCUGAGUUUCCAGAAGACCUGAUUCAACCAGAAGCAAAAGACAGUAGCCAAGAAGAUGGCAUAGCAUAAGAAUCUUGGAAAUUGAUAAAAACAUCCCAGAGAUAUCCAACAAAAUUAGUAACUAUGUGAAGAGAUUCUGUAAUAUUGGGUCUAUUGGGCUCUGUGGGAAGGUAUUCCCUUUGGAAAUGACUGAAAUGGAAAUUUUGAACCACUUUCAAUGAUACAAGUUUGGGGUUAACAUGGAGAUGGUGCUUCACAGAAGACACCACAUUUCAAUAAUUGUAUUCUUAUCGAAUUGUUUAAAAUUGGUCAGUGACUAAUAUUAAGCCUCUAAGAACAAAAUUCAUUAGGUUUAUUUAGCCUGUUUUUGCAUUACUGCUACAAAAUCCAAUAGUUUAAAUAGCUAACUGAAUACUUUUGAUGUUAAAGAGCAAAAUUUCAUGAAGAUUUUAGAUCAAGAGAGCUACCACUGAGAAAAAACAAUGCAGAUUUGUGGUAAAGUCCCAUGAAUUUGUUGAACUGCCAAGGCUUCUGAUCAUCACUGCUGAAGAACUUCUAAUGGUGACUUCCAUCUCAGCUUUCUCAUUGCCAACUAUUAAGAAUGUAUGGAUUAUCCAGAUGUUGCAACACAGUUGUGUUUUUGGCUUCACCACUCCCUCUGGGCUGUGAUUCUGUUUUUUUUUUCUUUUAUUGUUGAUGUUCUUUGUUUUUAAUAUGAGAAAGAUUUGUGUAUUAUACUUCAGUUUUAGUUUCCUUAAUCACAGACUAGACAAAAGAAAAUUGGCUUGGUUUCCUAUUAGGAAACCACUUAGAAGCCAUUAUCAGAAUCGUAGACCAUCACUGUGAACUAUAUCCAGGUGUUGUCAUGAAAGUAUGACAUCCUAGAGUGGAAAAGCAACCUGGGUUUCCGAGACUGUUUUACUCUUUUAUCUGGAAUGUUGUUUUAGCUGCUAUGGCUCCAACAGGGUGAACAUAGCAUUUUAUUUAAUCUAAAUAUCUUUCUGCUUUUUUUUUCUAAGUUGCAAAAAGUCAAUGACCACAUUUCAUCUCUAGCCUCUCGUGAGGUUUAAAUUACACAAGGAAGAAAUAUUUACAAUGUCAAAUGCUGAAGAUUGUUUGGAGUCAGAAGUGAUUGUUCAGAAUCUGUCUUAAUGACAAGUCAGAAAUUAGACAAAGAGAUGAAAUGCUAAGCCCCCAAUGUGUUCUGAAAAGUUAAAUAACCAUCUUACAUCAGUUGGUACGUUUUUGUAAGAGUCCAGGAUGUAAAAGUGAUAAAUAAAUUAAUGAAAAGCACUUUUAAAAAUCAACAAAAGACAUGGCAGGAAAUGGAAGAAAAGAGAAGCAAGGGAUGCAUUCUAAUAGAUAUUAAGAACAAGCCAAAGUGCAGUAUUUGCUCUAGGGUUUUACUGUUCAUUGUGUCAAGACUCACAGAUUUUAGAUAUUUUUUUUAAUUGGGAAAGUAAAUGAGGCAGGUAGAUAAGUAGAAAAAGUUGUGUGAAACUCAUCAGUACUGAAAAUAAAUAGUUGUACUUCUCUGUGGUUGUAGUUAAACUUAUUCAAAGCUCAGUGUCCUAGUGGAAGAGUGGAAAUGAACCUCACAUAGUUGUUCAACUGUCCUAUGAGUAGGCAAAAAUUUCCACACAUCAUGUUUAUUGAUCAUGAUUUUUCUUUUCUUGGACUGUUAUUUUAAGAUCAGUACACACUUUACCUCAUACCUCUACAAGAAAGUGUAGGAUCUCAUGGUCCUGUGUAUGUGCUCUAUAAAGUACAUGAUGAAGGAACCUUGUCUGUCUUUUGCUACACAGCCCAACAUAGAAUAGAACCUGACACAAUGGAGUCACAAAAAGCAUGUGUCAAAUGAAUGAAUAAAGAAUCAGCACGCACCAUUGUGGAAGACAGUGUGGCGAUUCCUCAGGGAUCUAGAACUAGAAAUACCAUUUGACCCAGCCAUCCCAUUACUGGGUAUAUACCCAAAGGAUUAUAAAUCAUGCUGCUAUAAAGACACAUGCACAUGUAUGUUUAUUGCGGCACUAUUCACAAUAGCAAAGACUUGGAACCAACCCAAAUGUCCAACAAUGAUAGACUGGAUUAAGAAAAUGUGGCACAUAUACACCAUAGAAUACUAUGUAGCCAUAAAAAAUGAUGAGUUCAUGUCCUUUGUAGGGACAUGGAUGAAGCUGGAAACCAUCAUUCUCAGCAAACUAUCGCAAGGACAAAAAACCAAACACCGCAUGUUCUCACUCAUAGGUGGGAAUUGAACAAUAAGAACACUUGGACACAGGAAGGGGAACAUCACACACCAGGGCCUGUUGUGGGGUGGGGAAUGGGGGAGGGAUAGUAUUAGGAGAUAUACCUUAUGUAAAUGACGAGUUAAUGGGUGCAGCACACCAACAUGGCCCAUGUAUACCUAUGUAACAAACCUGCACGUUGUGCACAUGUACCCUAGAACU